CUUCACGUGUGUGUCACUGGCACUGCUACAAAGGAAGGAGAAGCAGCCCUAAAAUGUAGGGAAGAAUAAUAUUACCAUAAUCUCCAUUUACCACAAGAAGAAAGUGAAGCUCUGAGAGAGAAAAUCCUUGGUCACAUCGUAAGAAGGAAUUAUUUAUGUCUAUAUAAAAUCCAUGCUCUUUGACAUCCAUUUGGGAAAGACUUUAAGGGAAAAUAUCAUCUGACUCGUACAACUUCUGCUGAGGGGAAAAACAUCAAACAUGGAACCUGAAAUUAAGGCAAGUGCACUCCAGGAGCCGAAAGAACUAGUUCAGCAGCUGUCAUUAUCCAAAA